AAGAAAGCAGGGGCCUGUAAUCUAUUGUGAAUGAGUCUUGUAAAAUUCAGGGUAUUAUAUUGCAUUAUUAUUGUGUGAGCCUCUUCAAGUGUAUAGUGACAAAGGUUCAGUAAAUAGUGCCGCAUUU